rnacentral:rRNA from 2 species
GGUUGACCUCGGAUUAGGUAGGAAUACCCGCUGAACUUAAGCAUAUCAA